rnacentral:lncRNA from 1 species
AAGAGCACAAGAUAGAGCGUGAUAGGCGGAAGUGGAAGAUAGAGGACGAGCAGAGAGAGUUGGUCUUGAGGGAACAAAAAACAACAUUGUGGGAAAAAAAUAUAGCGAUUUUGGAAAUUGAUCUAAGUAAGUUAACUCCAUGGAAAAAGAACAUUGCCAAACGUCGACAAAAUAACAUCUAUAUUAGGGAAGCUGGUAGUGAUGAUGGUGGUGG